GCCAGCAUGGCAUAGUGGUUUGGUGUGUUGGACUGUAUCUCUGGAGACCUGGGUUCAAUUCCCAACUCAGCCA